CCUACGGGAGGCAGCAGUGGGGAAUAUUGGACAAUGGGGGCAACCCUGAUCCAGCAAUUCUGUGUGCACGAAGAAGGUUUUCGGAUUGUAAAGUGCUUUCAGCAGGGAAGAAGAAAGUGACGGUACCUGCAGAAGAAGCGACGGCUAAAUACGUGCCAGCAGCCGCGGUAAUACGUAUGUCGCAAGCGUUAUCCGGAAUUAUUGGGCAUAAAGGGCAUCUAGGCGGCCAGACAAGUCUGGGGUGAAAACUUGCGGCUCAACCGCAAGCCUGCCCUGGAAACUGUCUGGCUAGAGUGCUGGAGAGGUGGACGGAACUGCACGAGUAGAGGUGAAAUUCGUAGAUAUGUGCAGGAAUGCCGAUGAUGAAGAUAGUUCACUGGACGGCAACUGACGCUGAAGUGCGAAAGCUAGGGGAGCGAACAGGAUUAGAUACCCGGGUAGUC
rnacentral:rRNA from 1 species